CCUACGGGCGGCAGCAGUCGAGAAUCAUUCACAAUGGGGGAAACCCUGAUGGUGCGACGCCGCGUGGGGGAAUGAAGGUCUUCGUAUUGUAAACCCCUGUCAUGUGGGAGCAAAUUAAAAAGAUAGUACCACAAGAGGAAGAGACGGCUAACUCUGUGCCAGCAGCAGCAGUAAUACAGAGGGCUCAAGCGGUGUUCGGGAUCACUGGGCGUAGAGCGUGCGUAGGCUGUUUCGUAAGUCGGGUGGGAAAGUCGCGGGCUCAACCCGCGGACGGCACAUGAUACUGGGAGACUAGAGUAAUGGAGGGGGAACCGGAAUUCUCGGUGGAGCAGUGAAAUGCGUAGAUAUCGAGAGGAACACUCGUGGCGAAGGCGGGUUCCUGGACAUUAACUGACGCUGAGGCACGAAGGCCAGGGGAGCGAAAGGGAUUAGAUACCCCAGUAGUC
rnacentral:rRNA from 1 species